rnacentral:rRNA from 1 species
GACGGGGCCCGCACAAGCGGUGGAGCAUGUGGUUUAAUUCGAUGCAACGCGAAGAACCUUACCUGGUCUUGACAUCCACAGAACUUUCCAGAGAUGGAUUGGUGCCUUCGGGAACUGUGAGACAGGUGCUGCAUGGCUGUCGUCAGCUCGUGUCGUGAGAUGUUGGGUUAAGUCCCGCAACGAGCGCAACCCUUGUCUUUAGUUGCCAUCAUUCAGUUGGGCACUCUAAAGAGACUGCCGGUGUCAAACCGGAGGAAGGUGGGGAUGACGUCAAGUCCUCAUGGCCUUUAUGACCAGGGCUACACACGUACUACAAUGGCCGGUACAAAGGGCAGCCACUUAGCGAUAAGGAGCCAAUCCCGUAAAGCCGGUCUCAGUCCGGAUUGGAGCCUGCAACUCGACUCCAUGAAGUUGGAAUCGCUAGUAAUCGCAGAUCAGCACGCUGCGGUGAAUACGUUCCCGGGCCUU